rnacentral:rRNA from 1 species
UACAGAGGUCUCAAGCGUUGUUCGGAUUCAUUGGGCGUAAAGGGUGCGUAGGCGGCGCGGUAAGUCGGGUGUGAAAUCUUGGAGCUUAACUCCGAAACUGCAUUCGAUACUGCCGUGCUUGAGGACUGGAGAGGAGACUGGAAUUUACGGUGUAGCGGUGAAAUGCGUAGAUAUCGUAAGGAAGACCAGUGGCGAAGGCGGGUCUCUGGACAGUUCCUGACGCUGAGGCACGGAGGCCAGGGGAGCAAACGGG